rnacentral:pre_miRNA from 1 species
AGUGGAACUGCUAGGUCAAAUGGUAACUCUAGGUAUAACUUUUUGAGGAACUACCAGACUGUUUUUCAGAGUGUCUGUACCAUUUACAUUCCCACCAGCUGU